rnacentral:rRNA from 1 species
UACGUGGGGUGCAAGCGUUAUCCGGAUUUACUGGGCGUAAAGCGUACCGUCGGUGUUUUGUUAAGUCUUCUGUUUAAGCUUGGGGCUCAACUCCAGAAAAGCAGGGGAAACCAGCAAAAUUGAGUCUGUUCGGGGAAGCUAGAAUUCUCGGUGGAGGGGUGAAAUCCGUAGAUAUCUGGAGGAACACCGGUGGCGAAGGCGGCAUCCUGGACCGAGAUUGACGCUGAGGCGCGAAAGCCAGGGGAGCAAACGGG